rnacentral:lncRNA from 1 species
GUGUUUCCUUCUCAUCAAUUUCAGUAAGAUUUUCGGGGGUUUUCCACGCUAUAAAAACAAAAUGAAUGAUGUGAGGGAAUGUCACUCUGGUCAACCCCAUAGGGGAUUGACAGCUUAAAGCCGUCUUUCCCCAAAAAAACAGCCGGAAGAUACCAAAGGGACAAUCGGAAUUAAUUUGUCUUAGAGAAACCGAAAAACCUUAUGGCAACUAGAUGUGUCAAAGCGACAUGAAUGGCCCCGUCUCAAAAAGUUGAAAAAUCUGCAAUUUUAAUAACACAUGUGGACGCACACAUGAUGGUAGUCUCACAUAUCAAAAAUCAGCUCAAAAUCUGGAGGCGUAUAGAAAAAUGUCCGUAUAACUGUGAUUUUCAAAAAUUUUCAAAGUUGUAAACCCUAAAUUUUGGCAAAAAUUAGCGGAGCGGAACAAAACUGAAACUUGAUCUGUAACUCAUCAUGGUUAGCUUACAUACCAAAAAUUAGCCCAAUAUCUGAAAGCAUUUAGAAAAAAGGUCCGUAUAACUGUGAUUUUCAAAAAUUUAUCAACGUCCAAAGCCUGAAAUUACAGAAAAAAAUUAGCGGAGCGGAACGAAACUUUAACUUGAUCUGUAACUCAUCAUGAGUAACUCACAUACCAAAAAUCAGCC